UCCGGUUGAUCCUGCCGGACUGACUGCUAUCGGAGAUACUAAGCCAUGCGAGUCAUUGUAGCAAUACAAGGCAUACGGCUCAGUAACGCGUAGUCAACCUAACCUAUGGACGGGAAUAACCUCGGGAAACUGAGAAUAAUGCCCGAUAGAACAUUAUGCCUGGAAUGGUUUAUGUUCCAAAUGAUUUAUCGCCGUAGGAUGGGACUGCGGCCUAUCAGUUUGUUGGUGAGGUAAUGGCCCACCAAGACUAUUACAGGUACGGGCUCUGAGAGGAGUAGCCCGGAGAUGGGUACUGAGACACGGACCCAGGCCCUAUGGGGCGCAGCAGGCGAGAAAACUUUGCAAUGUGCGAAAGCACGACAAGGUUAAUCCGAGUGGUUUCUGCUAAAGGAACCUUUUGUCAGUCCUAGAAACACUGAUGAAUAAGGGGUGGGCAAGUUCUGGUGUCAGCCGCCGCGGUAAAACCAGCACCUCAAGUGGUCAGGAUGAUUAUCGGGCCUAAAGCAUCCGUAGCCGGCUCUGUAAGUUUUCGGUUCAAUCUGUCCGCUCAACGUACAGGCUGCCGGGAAUACUGCCAAGCUAGGGAGUGGCAGAGGUAGACAGUACCCGGCCACGACGGGGUA
rnacentral:rRNA from 1 species